ensembl:lncRNA
CAGAGGGCGCCGAACCUGGUUUGGGUUUUGCUAAUUAGCUCACCUGUCGCAGCUCGCGCGCUAUGGGCACGCUAAUUAGUUAAUUUGUUGCGUCUGGUUGGGUUCUGCUCACAUGGAACCGGACAGCACGUUGUUGUCCACCACUGUUUGGCAGCGUUAUGUCUCCCAGACAAGGUUACAAAGACUUUUUGAAGUAAAACGGAGCAUUUCAUAUGGAGCUGAUUUCUAUCCUGGAGAUGAAACUCCAGUUCUGUGAGUAUCCCAAUUGAAUCAUGAAGAAGAAACUGCGAACUGUAAGUCAUUGGUUUCCUUAUUAUUAUUGGGCACUGCAAUGUAUUUUGGGUUAACCUGUUUAGUGAACAUUGCUUUGAGUAGUGUGGAUGUUUUAUUGGUGCAUGAGCUACUUAAGCAUUUGAGUUGGUACUAAUGGUUUCAAGUACAGGUUAGAAGUGUUGUAAAGCGUAAUAGAGAAUUCUGUGGGUACAACCAAAACAUACUUCAGGGUUGGUUGCUGAUUUCUUUAGUCUUCUUUCCUGCUACUCUCCUGAGCUCUUCAUCUUCAUCACAUGAGUGUCGCUUUACCGAUAAGGGCGUAUCUGAGUGAGCAGAGGUGCAUGAUGGGAUACAGGUCUGUCUGAAGUCUACUGGUCUGUAGACACGACCACUCAGGAGAAACCAAGGGUUUGAGAAUCCGUUUUGAUGUGCGUUUCAUGGACUAGAAUAUCCUUUAAGAUGGGGACAGGGAUUCCCAAAGGAGAAACACUUUGGGGAGAUGUGAGUGCUCCUCAUCUCAACGACUGGAACACUACUUCGUUCUUGCACCAGAGAACCAUAGAGCUCAUUUCAACAUUCUCCUCCAUGUAUUGUGAAGCCUCAGCGACUCUUUCUCUACCUCCACAGCUGUCAGAGCACAACUCCAGUUCAGAAAUGGUCACAGUUGGGGGCCAUUCCAAGAUGGUUUCUCAUUUCACCAGAGCCAUCUUCCAGGUCCAGCUGGCCUUCCAUCUUGAGGGUUGGAGUGUACAAAACACUGUACACAGAAAGCUUCUAUUUGGUCCAGUCCAGUCAGCCUACUGAGGAUGGAGAUAUUCUACAAGAGUGUUUGACAUUGUAUUGCUCUGUGGCAUCCGGGUUUGACAUGAGAUGGAAAUGGUUCAUUUGUCAGCAUGACAAGGGUUCGCUCUGGUAUUGGAGUUCUGCAUAAGUGUGUGACCUGGGUUCUACAUGUGUCCUGGGUUCGCUCUGGUGUUGGCGUUCUCCUGGGUUUGCUCUGGUAUUGGAGUUCUACGUUUGUCCUUGAUUCGAUCUGGUAUUGGAGUUCUACGUUUGUCCUUGAUUCGAUCUGGUAUUGGAGUUCAACGUUUGUGUCCUUGGUUCGAUCUGGUAUUGGAGUUCAACGUGCGUGUCCUUGGUUCGAUCUGGUAUUGGAGUUCAACGUGCGUGUCCUUGGUUCGAUCUGGUAUUGGAGUUCAACGUGCGUGUCCUUGGUUCGAUCUGGUAUUGGAGUUCUACAUGCGUGUCCUUGGUUCGAUCUGGUAUUGGAGUUCAACGUGCGUGUCCUUGGUUCGAUCUGGUAUUGGAGUUCUACAUGCGUGUCCUUGGUUCGAUCUGGUAUUGGAGUUCAACGUGCGUGUCCUUGGUUCGAUCUGGUAUUGGAGUUCAACGUGCGUGUCCGUGGUUCGAUCUGGUAUUGGAGUUCAACGUGCGUGUCCUUGGUUCGAUCUGGUAUUGGAGUUCAACGUGCGUGUCCUUGGUUCGAUCUGGUAUUGGAGUUCAACGCGUGUGUCCAGGGUACGACCUGGCAUGGGAUUCUACAUGUGUCCUGGGUUCAACCUGGUGUCCGUCCAUCUGAGUGACAUGGGGUAUUGGAACCGUCAACCUAAUCGAAAUGGAUGGAUGAGCACCUGGUUUGCUUAAGGACUUGGCCGACGUGAAGAGCCUGGAACGAUGCUCCGCAAUGAUAUCCCAACACACUGGACAGGAAGACGGGAGUUGGAUUGGAAUCAAGUGUAAAGAAAGGAUGCGAAAGGCUGGUUUGGAUCACUGACUACAAAUUAGAACUACACCAAUAAGGAACAAUGGAGGAAAUAUACCAAAUGGAUUCCACAAGAAGAGUCUGAAGUUGGAAAUCGACCUAAAUGGAUAUUCCAGAUGACCUUCAGAGCUGUAGUGAGGUGCCUCUUCCUACCUGCUGGAUGGCCGGCAAGCCCUGUGGACCGUGUCUUGUGUCGUAUUGCUUUCAGAUGCACAUCUUCUCUGACUGAAAUAUAUUUUGUUUCCUGGCUAGGUGAACCUGGGAGAUGGGUUGUGUGAAUCUGAAACGAUCUUUGAACUAUCCUAACUCGGGUCUGCCUCAAGCUGUAGUUGUGCUCUUCAGCUGAGGAUGUUUGGAAACCUUCAGUGGGGCUUCAAGAUGUAUAGAGGGGAACGUUGCAGUGGGUUCCAUGGUUCUCUGAUGGAGAACCUUAGUUGUAUUCUACUGGCUGAGAGGAAAAACACACGCAUCUUUCUCUUGGCGUUUCUUCCUUUUAGAAUCCCUGUCGCCAUCUUGAAGGAUAUUCCACUUUAUGUAACUGAUGUCCUUGCGGCUUCGCAAACUUUGGUUUCUCCAGUGGGGCGUGUCUACAGAAUUGUAUACUUCAGACGGCAUUGUAUCCUAGAAUGAAUCUCUGCUUACUCAAACCACACCUCCAUUAGUAGGGCAACACUAUAGCGAUGGAGGUGCAUAGUCUUUGAGUAACUGGGGAGCAGAUAACGGGGAUUAGAAAACAAUGUCAUGUUAAGUCUGUAGAUCUUAAAAUCAUGAUUGUUAAAUGGGAGUUCAGGAGUUGAUUUAAUUAUGUGCAGUCCCUUAUCUCAAAUGCACACGUCUCACUUAACCUCAGAUUUCUUCGAAAUGAUUCGCAAUUGUUGAUGCGGUUAGUUCAGGGUAUCGUUUGCAGGGUUGUGGAUGGCUCUCUGAGCUAGACAUUUUGGUUGUAUCUGUAGGGUUUGUACCCAGAAUUAUCAAGAUAAGAUAAGAUGUUGUAUGGUCAAAUGUAGUCAGUUUUGCAUUAACGGAUUUCCUCGUUUUUAAGCAAGCCUUUGAGGGUUAAAUGUGUUGUGGGACAUACAAGGUAGUUCUGUGUGCUUCGUAUUGUUUUUAGUGUUAUAACUUGUACACACUGGGUGCUUAGCAAUUUAGAGGUAACACUGAAUAGUAGUUAUAACCAACAGCAACAAACAGAUCGCCUUAAGGUAAGUCUGUUGGCUGCAUUUAUGUGAGAAGAUCAUCGCUGGACUUCAGGAUCGUCCUCCGCUCAGCUCAAGGUGAGGCGCUGGUUACGUUCCUUACUGCUGGGUUGGUUCCGGCUGGAAUGUUCGGAUUCCAGUCGGACGGGUUUCCUUCCCGCCGGGAAGGUUCUGAGUGUAGUCCGUUAAUUUAGUUUCAAAAUGGUUGGCAUUGAACAUUGUAGUAUUGAAAACCUUAAGAACACACUUGGCGGUUAGUUGGAUUGAUUUAAGUCACCUGAAAGGGCAUCUGGCAGUAUGUUAAGGAUUGACGUUUGCAUUACCUCGUCACCAUUGGAAAAAAACAAUUCAAUUUCUGACCAAUCUUAAGAGACUUUAGAUUUCCCGUUCAAAAUACAUACUGGCGUCUAUGUUUUUCAUUUCUCAAAUUCUACCAAUUUUUUUCAAUAAUUGCGCUCCACGUUGACGGACUCUCGCUGCGUACAAAUCUGCGUCGUACUUGCGGGCGCAUUUCUAACCGUCAAUGAAGAUUUCAUCACUUUUAGGCACUUUAUGGCAUGGCUUCCAUAUAACCCAGCACCUUAAUAUGGUUAAGUAUAAUUUUACUAUUGAAUUUUUAAUAUUGAUACUGCUUAGUGUUCUUUGAUACUUUAACAGCUUUGGUACAUUCUAAAUAUCUGGUCCAUUAAUUGUCACAGAAGUUAAACCCUACCAAAUCGCAUGACGUUAGAUUAUUACCCUUUUGUGAUGGGUUAUGAACUGGAUAGUAUCCAACCGCUAAAAUAAUGGCUGUGUCCCACAUGUUGCAGUAGGAGAACUUUAUAACCGUACACGGUAAAUGGUAACGUGUAGUUUGUCUCACGGUGUCUGCCUCCUCCCCAGAGCCGUACCUUCACCCUGUCGGAGUCCUCCACAGAAGGUCAGAGCUCCGCUGCAGGAGGGUCAUGUAUGUUCAGAGGCUGUCUGAUUAGUUCAGGGGCCUCUGGAUGCGGCAACGGGGUAGACGGUGGCGGACUGGACCCCCCGGAGGCCGACCGGACCCCGCCGACUGGAGACCGGACCCCCCACGGAGGCCGACUGGAGCCCCCGGACUGGACCCCCGGAGGCCGACUGGACCCUCGGAGGCCGACUGGACCCCCGGAGGCGUGGACCAGAGGCUGAGGCUGGAAGGACCAGGAUGGACCAGGAACCAAAGCUGGAGACCAGAGAAAUGCCACACGGGAUCGGACCAGAGGGAACCUCAGAUGCAGAAGGUGUGGAGUGUGGCAGCUACACCUGGGAUUCCUGGCUGACGGAGGAGUCGUGCUGGAGGAGGUCCUGCCUGGUGGAGGCGGUCCAUCGUGGGGCAGAUGGAGCCUGACUCUAACGCCAGGACUCUGUGGUGUGGAGGAGCUGGGACUCCUGAGGACAGCCAGAACUCCACCAACAAGGAUUCCUCGACAUGAGCUGGACCAGAGGACAGCUGGUGGGGAGCCGUAGAUCUGGAGGAAGACCAUGACUCUACCAGCAAGUAUUCCAUACCAGGACUCCGUGGCUGAGGAGCUGUGUGUGGUCCGACCGGACCCCCCGGAGGCGGACUGGAGCCCCCCCCGGAGGCGGACUGGAGCCCCCCCCGGAGGCCGACUGGAGCCCCCCCCGGAGGCCGACUGGAGCCCCGGAGGCCGACUGGACCCCCGGAGGCGUGGACCAGAGGCUGAGGCUGGAAGGAUCAGGUUGGACCAGGAACCGAAGCUGGAGACCAGAGAAAUGCCACACGGGAUCGGACCAGAGGGAACCUCAGAUGCAGAAGGUGUGGAGUGUGGCAGCUACACCUGGGAUUCCUGGCUGACGGAGUCGUCGUGCUGGAGGAGGUCCUGCCUGGUGGAGGCGGUCCAUCGUGGGGCAGAUGGAGCCUGACUCUAGCGCCAGUACUCUGUGGCGUGGAGGAGCUGGGACUCCUGAGGACAGCCAGAACUCCACCAACAAGGAUUCCUCGACAUGAGCUGGACCAGAGGACAGCUGGUGGGGAGCCGUAGAUCUGGAGGAAGACCAUGACUCUACCAGCAAGUAUUCCAUACCAGGACUCCGUGGCUGAGGAGCUUUAUGUGGUCCGACCGGACCCCCCUCGGAGGCGGACUGGACCCCCCGAGGCGGACUGGACCCCCGGAGGCGGACUGGACCCCCGGAGGCGUGGACCAGAGGCUGAGGCUGGAAGGACCAGGUUGGACCAGGAACCGAAGCUGGAGACCAGAGAAAAAUGCCACGGGAUCGGACCAGAGGGAACCUCAGAUGCAGAAGGUGUGGAGUGUGGCAGCUACACCUGGGAUUCCUGGCUGACGGAGGAGUUGUGCUGGAGGAGGUCCUGCCUGGUGGAGGCGGUCCAUCGUGGGGCAGAUGGAGCCUGACUCUAACGCCAGGACUCUGUGGCGUGGAGGAGCUGGGACUCCUGAGGACAGCCAGGACUCCACCAACAAGGACUCCACCAACAAGGAUUCCUCGACAUGAGCUGGACCAGAGGACAGCUGGUGGGGAGCCGUAGAUCUGGAGGAAGACCAUGACUCUACCAGCAAGUAUUCCAUACCAGGACUCCGUGGCUGAGGAGCUGUGAGUCUGGAGGAAGACCAGGACUGUCUACAGGUCUGUAACCAGACCGGGAAUCUGGACAACUGAUGGAGAAGCCAUACCUCUGACCAGGACUCCGUGGCAGAAGAGAGCUGAUGGAGGAGCUCUGACUCCGGAGAUCGACCAUGACUCUACUAGCAAGUAGUCCUUGACGCUGGUGAAAUCCGGUUUGGUCCAGGACCCACACCUGAUCUGAACCCAACCUGAUCCUGUUUGUUCCUCUCCCCUCAUCCUCAAGAAGAACUUCUGAGCUUCAGCAGUCUGAGGCUGAUGGAUCAAUUAACUCCAGUCUGAAUAACCUUGACCCCACAUGUACCCGUGUACUUCCACACUCCUUUCCCUCAUGUCUGUCACUAACUAACCUCACUACUUCACUGUCCUCUCUACUCCCUUCCGUUCCUCUUGCUUCUCCAUGGUUCGAACCAGCACUCUGAAGGAGUGUCUUCUUGCCCUCAGAGGGUUCAGUGUUAGGGUUGAGAGUCAGGGUUUAGAGUCAGGGACAGAGCUGGUUAGGGAGGAAGGGUUUUUGCACAUGCCUCUUCACUUGCUUGCUGAAUUGUUUUGACAUUUUGAAAUGAUUCAUUGGGAAAAUAUUUUACUGUGCUAUUACUGACAAAUAAAUAUUGUUGUACCAAAUGUCUUUUAUAAAUGUAAAUCCUACAUUGUGACUUAAGAUAUUUGAUUCUGUAAUUUGCCUUGGCUAUUGUCAAGCUAAACAUUUUAAUACAUUGCAUAUAUUUCAUGCAUAUUAUUCACAUAAUAGUUAAUAUAUGAUACAACUUCCAUAUAAACUACACAAUUCCAGUAUUCAUUUAGGUACCGACCGACCCACACAGGCCAUUAAUCUACCACCGUAACCAUUCCAGUAUCAAACCAAUACAGGAUAACUAGGACAUUGGAGAACGAGGUUUCACAAGAACAGCACCAAUAAUGUGUCAUGGCGACCUCAUUUUGGGCAAAAUCAUUUCUACAGGCCUGCGUCCACGUUACCUGACAGAAGGUUCUGUCUGAAGGGUUAAAAAGAUGGCUGACAUUCUAAGUUGAAAAUCCAAUAUUCUGAAUAAAAAUGUAGCUCAUUGCUCCACCUGUUUGA